CAAGCAUUAGCUAAGAUGCAAAGGUCCAAAAUGAAUAAGAAGGUUUUUGUUCAUGAUACAUUAUUUUCCCUUUAUAUUAAAGUCUCUCCUCCAAUUGAUGGCAUCAUUUCUAUUUCAAAUAUCACUGUGCUAUUUGCUUAACAGCCAAAGGCACUGCAAAUGAAUAUAUCUGAAUCUUACUAGGAACUGUACAGAAGAAGAUGCAGGAGGUCUGAAGGGAAGUCAGAGACAAAAGAAGGAAGGAAGCAAGCAAGCACUGCUCAUGCUCUAGGUUUUAUUCUCCCUCCCAAGAGUCAACCCUGCUUGCUUUUUCUUCUGCCCAAGCUUUGAAUUGUUCAGAUUCCAUUGAUAGACACCUGGGAAACACUCCUGAACAUUCCUGAAAAUUUGAAGAAACAAGUAUUAGAUCAAUUUAUGCAGUGUUGUAAUUAUGUAAGUUUGCU
rnacentral:lncRNA from 1 species